UACGGAGGGUGCGAGCGUUGUUCGGAAUCACUGGGCGUAAAGGGCGUGUAGGCGGUCCGCUAAGUCUGAUGUGAAAGCCCGGGGCUCACCCCCGGAAGGGCAUUGGAAACUGACGGACUCGAGUCCCGAAGAGGAGAGUGGAAUUCCUGGUGUAGCGGUGAAAUGCGCAGAUAUCAGGAAGAACACCAAUGGCGAAGGCAGCUCUCUGGGACGGUACUGACGCUGAGACGCGAAAGCGUGGGGAGCGAACAGG
rnacentral:rRNA from 1 species